UCACACCUCGAUACAUAAUCUGAAACUCAUGUUUUAUCUCAAAUUUUUGGAGUUUCAUCUUUAAUGAAUUAUAAAUGAAAGGGGGAACAAUUCAAAAAAGUCAAAUUGGCAACAUUUGAAUGAUAUAGGGGGAGACUUCACUCUUAUAUAUGAAAAGCUGAAAUUCAGCAAGUUAAGCCCAUUCAAAAACUGAUUUUAAGAUAAGUAUCAAUAGGCUCAUACUCUUUAUUUUGUAAUCAUCAAAAAGGGGGAGAUUGAGAAUGAUAGUGUUAUUUUGAUGAUUAACAAGCAUUUAACAAGAGUAUGUUAUAAGUUAAAACGAUACUUCAUUUAUAAGUCUGUUACUCUCAGUAUAUUUGUAUAAAUUGAUAUAGAUACAUUUCAUUGUUUAUAUGAAUGAAUCUAACCUUGAGAUGCAGCAAACUGUGGAUUGAGUCGACCCAAAGGAUGA
rnacentral:lncRNA from 1 species